rnacentral:rRNA from 2 species
ACUACGGUGCUGAAGCAACAAAUGCCCUGCUUCCAGGAAAAGCCUCUAAGCAUCAGGUAACAUCAAAUCGUACCCCAAACCGACACAGGUGGUCAGGUAGAGAAUACCAAGGCGCUUGAGAGAACUCGGGUGAAGGAACUAGGCAAAAUGGUGCCGUAACUUCGGGAGAAGGCACGCUGACACGUAGGUGAAGUGAUUUACUCACGGAGCUGAAGUCAGUCGAAGAUACCAGCUGGCUGCAACUGUUUAUUAAAAACACAGCACUGUGCAAACACGAAAGUGGACGUAUACGGUGUGACGCCUGCCCGGUGCCGGAAGGUUAAUUGAUGGGGUCAGCGCAAGCGAAGCUCCUGAUCGAAGCCCCGGUAAACGGCGGCCGUAACUAUAACGGUCCUAAGGUAGCGAAAUUCCUUGUCGGGUAAGUUCCGACCUGCACGAAUGGCGUAAUGAUGGCCAGGCUGUCUCCACCCGAGACUCAGUGAAAUUGAACUCGCUGUGAAGAUGCAGUGUACCCGCGGCAAGACGGAAAGACCCCGUGAACCUUUACUAUAGCUUGACACUGAACAUUGAGCCUUGAUGUGUAGGAUAGGUGGGAGGCUUUGAAGUGUGGACGCCAGUCUGCAUGGAGCCGACCUUGAAAUACCACCCUUUAAUGUUUGAUGUUCUAACGUGGACCCGUAAUCCGGGUUGCGGACAGUGUCUGGUGGGUAGUUUGACUGGGGCGGUCUCCUCCUAAAGAGUAACGGAGGAGCACGAAGGUUGGCUAAUCCUGGUCGGACAUCAGGAGGUUAGUGCAAUGGCAUAAGCCAGCUUGACUGCGAGCGUGACGGCGCGAGCAGGUGCGAAAGCAGGUCAUAGUGAUCCGGUGGUUCUGAAUGGAAGGGCCAUCGCUCAACGGAUAAAAGGUACUCCGGGGAUAACAGGCUGAUACCGCCCAAGAGUUCAUAUCGACGGCGGUGUUUGGCACCUCGAUGUCGGCUCAUCACAUCCUGGGGCUGAAGUAGGUCCCAAGGGUAUGGCUGUUCGCCAUUUAAAGUGGUACGCGAGCUGGGUUUAGAACGUCGUGAGACAGUUCGGUCCCUAUCUGCCGUGGGCGCUGGAGAACUGAGGGGGGCUGCUCCUAGUACGAGAGGACCGGAGUGGACGCAUCACUGGUGUUCGGGUUGUCAUGCCAAUGGCACUGCCCGGUAGCUAAAUGCGGAAGAGAUAAGUGCUGAAAGCAUCUAAGCACGAAACUUGCCCCGAGAUGAGUUCUCCCUGAGACUUUAGGUCUCCUGAAGGAACGUUGAAGACGACGACGUUGAUAGGCCGGGUGUGUAAGCGCAGCGAUGCGUUGAGCUAACCGGUACUAAUGAACCGUGAGGCUUAACCUUACAACGCCGAAG